rnacentral:rRNA from 1 species
AUUGAACGCUGGCGGCAGGCCUAACACAUGCAAGUCGAACGGUAACAGGAAGCAGCUUGCUGCUUUUCUGACGAGUGGCGGACGGGUGAGUAAUGUCUGGGAAACUGCCUGAUGGAGGGGGAUAACUACUGGAAACGGUAGCUAAUACCGCAUAACGUCGCAAGACCAAAGAGGGGGACCUUAGGGCCUCUUGCCAUCGGAUGUGACCAGACGGGAUUAGCUUGUAGGUGGGGUAACGGCUCACCUAGACCACGAUCCCUAGCUAGUCUGAGAGGAUGACCAGCCACACUGGAACUGGGACACGGUCCAGACUCCUACGGGAGGCAGCAGUGGGGAAUAUUGCACAAUGGGCGCAAGCCUGAUGCAGCCAUGCCGCGUGUAUGAAGAAGGCAUUCGGGUUGUAAAGUACUUUCAGCGGGGAGGAAGGGAGUAAAGUUAAUACCUUUGCUCAUUGACGUUACCCGCAGAAGAAGCACCGGCUAACUCCGUG